UUGGAUAGCAUGCUAUUCAGUGGCGCAGCUAACGCAGUGACCAUCCCGCUUGGGACGCACGGCCGCAAGGCUAAUACUCAAAGAACUCGACGGGGGCCCGCACAACCGCUGGAGCAUCUGGUUCAAUCCGAGGCAACGCGAAGAACCUUACCAGCCCUGGACAUCCCGUCGCGGAUCCAGAGAUGGAUCGUUCGGUUCGGCCGGACGGCGACAGGCGCUGCAUGGCAGUCGUCAGCUCGUGUCGUGAGAUGUUGGGUUAAGUCCCGCAACGAGCGCAACCAUUGUCCCCAGUUGCCAGCAUUAAGUUGCGCACUCUACGGGAGACUGCCAGUGAUAAGCCCCCCGCAAGGCCCGGGAUGACGUCAAGUCAUCAUGGCCCUUACGGGCUGGGCUACACACGUGCUACAAUGGUGCUGACAGUGGGCAGCUACUCCGCAAGGAGAUGCUAAUCUCUAAAAGCCACCUCAGUUCGGAUUGCACUCUGCAACUCGGGUGCAUGAAGUUGGAAUCGCUAGUAAUCGUGGAUCAGCACCCACAGGGUAUACGCUCCCGGGCAUUGUACACACCGCCCGUCACACCAUGGGAGUUGCUUUUACC
rnacentral:rRNA from 1 species